AUGGUUAUAAUAGGAGGAGAUGCGGAUGGCAAUGAAGAAGAUCGUUCUGGAAGUCAGUCGCUUCGCCAGAACUCGAAGCGUCCUGCUAAUCGCCAGCCAAGACAUGCGCAGAGUGUUCAGCAGGGAGAGGAAGUUGAGGAUGCUGAUCAGUUUCGUGUUGUAAAGCGGACUAGACGUGCAGCACUUGGAAAGGGAGCCGAGUCAUCUUCUAGGGCAGCAGUUGCUGGAGGAGCUGUCGCAUCUUCCGCAGCAGAUGUUGAGGCCAGCGGUGAAGGAGUUGAGGUGGCUGCGGGGGAAGAUGCGGAGCGACCAUCACAAGCGGGCAGGAUAAGGGCAUCACCAGCGCAGUUUGCAAAUUUCAACGCCUCUCUGUCCCCACCGCAGAAGUCGGAGCUAGUUUCGAGGUUGUUCGGGGGCCUAUCGAACUUAUCAGACACACUUCCAGCUGACCUCACUAAGUUCCUGGUGCAGUCCUACCAGCCAGAGAGCUCUGAAAUGGUUUUCCCAGGAAGGGGAAGGAUCCAUGUCGAUGCUGACAGUGUUCACAGGGUAUUUGAUCUCCCAAACAGGGGUCAAAAAGUCAGAUAUUUAGUUGACAAGGUUGCAACUAGGAGAUUCAGAGAGGCUUUCAACAUAACUGGAAAUUCUCAUCCCCAGAUCACUACAUGGUGCAACAUGAUUCAGGAUAUGGCUGGAAGAACGGAUGACACAUUCUUUAUGGCCUGGCUUGCGAUACUAUACCUUGAUGCACUCGUCCAUGAUAUCCCAGUAAGCAACUGCGGGAUACGAGCGAAUGCAUGGGAUAGUAUUCUAAUUGCCAAGGUGAUCAAGAAGGACCCGAUCUCUCCUGGUGUGUUCGCCAAAUUACAACUUAAAGAGGAGUAUAGAGGCACGGAGCAGACACCACUAUUUGGUGGUAUUUUGCAAGCUGAAGCAUUCGUGGCAUUCAAGUUACCAAUAACCUAUAAUCCGCAGAAAAAUGCAAAGAUUGCCAAAGUGGUUAAUGACCUGUGCAAGGCUUUAACUGAACAGGUUGGCACCUUCAUUGAAGCAGUUGCCAAGAUCGAUGACGAGGAGCCGGAUAUUGAUCCCUACGUACAGCAGCCAUCAAUGGGAACCGGGACGUCACGCCGUGCUCCAAAAAGAAAGAGACGGGGUUCAACUAUACAAGAAGAAGAAGAGUUUGUU
rnacentral:rRNA from 1 species